UGGGGGAUAUUGCACAAUGGGCGCAAGCCUGAUGCAGCGACGCCGCGUGGGGGAUGAAGGCCUUCGGGUUGUAAACUUCUUUUGCUCUGAACAAGGCGCACUUUGGGGUGUGUUGAGUGUAGGGGUUGAUUAGCGCCGGCUAACUACGUGCCAGCAGCCGCGGUAAUACGUAGGGCGCGAGCGUUGUCCGGAAUUAUUGGGCGUAAAGGGCUUGUAGGUGGCUGGUUGCGUCUGUCGUGAAAGCUCAUGGCUUAACUGUGGGUUUGCGGUGGGUACGGGCUGGCUUGAGUGCAGUAGGGGAGGCUGGAAUUCCUGGUGUAGCGGUGGAAUGCGCAGAUAUCAGGAGGAAUACCGGUGGCGAAGGCGGGUCUCUGGGCUGUUACUGACGCUGAGGAGCGAAAGCAUGGGGAGCGAACAGG
rnacentral:rRNA from 1 species